GACGAACGCUGGCGGCGUGCCUAAUACAUGCAAGUUGAGCGCUGAAGGUUGGUACUUGUACCAACUGGAUGAGCAGCGAACGGGUGAGUAACGCGUGGGGAAUCUGCCUUUGAGCGGGGGACAACAUUUGGAAACGAAUGCUAAUACCGCAUAAAAACUUUAAACACAAGUUUUAAGUUUGAAAGAUGCAAUUGCAUCACUCAAAGAUGAUCCCGCGUUGUAUUAGCUAGUUGGUGAGGUAAAGGCUCACCAAGGCGAUGAUACAUAGCCGACCUGAGAGGGUGAUCGGCCACAUUGGGACUGAGACACGGCCCAAACUCCUACGGGAGGCAGCAGUAGGUAAUCUUCGGCAAUGGACGAAAGUCUGACCGAGCAACGCCGCGUGAGUGAAGAAGGUUUUCGGAUCGUAAAACUCUGUUGGUAGAGAAGAACGUUGGUGAGAGUGGAAAGCUCAUCAAGUGACGGUAACUACCCAGAAAGGGACGGCUAACUACGUG
rnacentral:rRNA from 1 species